UACGGGGGGGGCAAGCGUUGUUCGGAGUUACUGGGCGUACAGCGUGCGCAGGCGGUUCGCAAAGUCUGAUGUGAAAGCCCCGGGCUCAACCUGGGAACUGCAUUGGAAACUAGCGGGCUCGAGUGUGGCAGAGGGGGGUGGAAUUCCACGUGUAGCAGUGAAAUGCGUAGAGAUGUGGAGGAACACCGAUGGCGAAGGCAAUCCCCUGGACCUGUACUGACGCUCAUGCACGAAAGCGUGGGGAGCAAACAGG
rnacentral:rRNA from 1 species